rnacentral:rRNA from 1 species
AAUUCUCAACCCCUUCCCCCUUUUACUAGGCGGGCUUGUGGAUUGGACUUGGAGGUCUUUUGCUGGCUUUUUACUAAGUCGGCUCCUCUUAAAUGCAUUAGUAGGACCUUCAGUUGGAAGAAGCCUCGGUGUGAUAAUUAUCUACGCCGGCUCGUGUGCUAUAUUCACUGUAUGUCGAACCUGCUUCUAACCGUCUCGCAAGGGACAAAUUAAA